CUACAAUACAUUCCAAAAGUGACUUAAAAGUUUAACAUCGUAUCUCUAACAAUUAUUCUUGGGUUUCCAUGUAAUCUUACUACUUCCCUAAAGAAUAAGCCAGCAACAUGCUUUGCAUAAUCCCUAAACAUUAUUCUUGACUACAAAACUUGUGAACAUCGUGCUUCAUCUUCGAUCAAAAGAAGUGUUCAUGCAACAUAUUAUAAGUUUUAUUAAUCCCAAAAUGUCUCAUUAAGCCACCACCAAAUUAGACUAGCUCCAAAGAUAAACUAACAACCCUUGCUAAACCUAUCAAGUAAGUGACUCUAUUAUUUGCUUGGUUAGAUGAAUUGUAUUGCGUAUUUUAAUGCAUACGUGUUUCCCUUGAGCAUGUCAUAAUUACGAUUGUUAUGCUAUCCAAUGUCGUGUUAUGCCAUGUUUAUAAGCUAGACUAUAGUGUGACUAUACUAUGUAUAAUAAUAUGUUAUUAUGAUGAUAAUCUAUGAUGUGUUAGGACGUGUAUAUAAAAGAUUUGAUAAGAAUUAUGUCUGCAUAUUUACGUUAUAAAUGGAAUUGGAGGCCCUUUCCCUUCAUGGUGUCUGAAAGCACAUUAGCGAGUGCUAGUCUAUUGAGACAGGCCUAGGCAAUACAUGAGCCCUCAGGUAAAGGUUAGGCGCAAAGGUACGGAUGGCGACGCCGUGACGAAAGCCAUGGAACUAGAGGUUAAUAUCGAAAUCGAGAAAAUACAGACAAAUAUAGGUCAAACAAAUGGGAAAAGAAGUAUCACUCGUUGGUUAUGGACCAACAUAUGCACAAAUAUCAUGUACGACUACAUACGCGUAGAGGCGGUCGCAUGCGUAAAGGUGGUAUGAAUCUCAAAUUGGGUCAGGCACAUAGGGUGCGGGUCACGAUUUGAGUCGGACACAAACAAUCGAGUCUGAAAUUUGUAACUUGUGUGUCGUCAAUGCCUUCGAAUCAUUUUUUUUAAGAUUACAAUUAGUUUUUUUAUUUUUUCUA